GUGGGGAAUAUUGGACAAUGGGCGAAAGCCUGAUCCAGCCAUGCCGCGUGUGUGAAGAAGGUCUUCGGAUUGUAAAGCACUUUAAGUUGGGAGGAAGGGCAGUAAGUUAAUACCUUGCUGUUUUGACGUUACCGACAGAAUAAGCACCGGCUAACUUCGUGCCAGCAGCCGCGGUAAUACGACGGGUGCAAGCGUUAAUCGGAAUUACUGGGCGUAAAGAGCGCGUAGGUGGUUUUGUAAGUUGGAGGUGAAAUCCCCGGGCUCAACCUGGGAACUGCCUCCAAAACUGCAUGACUAGAGUACGGUAGAGGGUAGUGGAAUUUCCUGUGUAGCGGUGAAAUGCGUAGAUAUAGGAAGGAACACCAGUGGCGAAGGCGACUACCUGGACUGAUACUGACACUGAGGUGCGAAAGCGUGGGGAGCAAACAGGAUUAGAAACCCGUGUAGUCC
rnacentral:rRNA from 1 species